CCUGGUGGCUCAGACGGUAAAGCAUCUGCCUGCAAUGCAGGAGACCUGGGUUCGAUUCCUGGGUCAGGA
rnacentral:tRNA from 1 species